UACGUAGGCAGCGAGCGUUGUUCGGAGUUACUGGGCGUAAAGAGUGCGUAGGCGGUUUUCUAAGUUUGGUGUGAAAUCUCCCGGCUUAACUGGGAGGGUGCGCCGAAGACUGGAAGGCUUGAGUAUGGGAGAGGUAAGCGGAAUUCCUGGUGUAGCGGUGAAAUGCGUAGAUAUCAGGAGGAACACCUGCGGUGUAGACGGCUUACUGGACCAUCACUGACGCUGAGGCACGAAAAGCGUGGGUAGCAAACAGG
rnacentral:rRNA from 1 species